CGGGCAACCGUGACCCUGCUGGAGUGCGGGGGGGACCUCCAGCCCCCCGGGGGGUCCCUGCGCCUCCUCUGCCGAGGGGCCGGGUUCGAUUUUGGGAAUUUUGACAUGCACUGGAUCCGGCAGAGACCCGGGCAGGGGCUGGAGUGGCUCGCUGGAAUCUACAAAACUGGUUCCAGCACGGCCUACGCGCCGUCGGUCAAGGGCCGGUUCACGAUCUCCAGGGACAACGGGCAGAGCUCGGUGACGCUGACCAUGAACAGCCUCAAGGACGAGGAUUCCGGAUCCUAUUUCUGUGCCAAAUGUUCCAGCAGUGGUUGGGGUGGUGGUGCUGCUGCUUAUGCUUAUGGUGUUGAUGCCGGCGCUCUGCCGCAGCGCCCCGAGGCUGAGCUGCCCUCUGCCCAGCACAGAUGUUCACCGUGA